UACGUAGGGUGCGAGCGUUACUCGGAAUUACUGGGCGUAAAGCGUGCGCAGGCGGUCUGUUAAGACAGAUGUGAAAUCCCCGGGCUUAACCUGGGAACUGCAUUUGUGACUGGCAGGCUAGAGUAUGGCAGAGGGGGGUAGAAUUCCACGUGUAGCAGUGAAAUGCGUAGAGAUGUGGAGGAAUACCGAUGGCGAAGGCAGCCCCCUGGGCCAAUACUGACGCUCAUGCACGAAAGCGUGGGGAGCAAACAGG
rnacentral:rRNA from 1 species